rnacentral:rRNA from 1 species
GAUGAACGCUAGCGGGAGGCUUAACACAUGCAAGUCGAGGGGCAGCACGUCCCGAGUAAUCGGGAUGGUGGCGACCGGCGCACGGGUGAGUAACGCGUAUGUAACCUGUCCUUAACAGGAGGAUAACCCGGAGAAAUUCGGACUAAUACUGCAUAAAAUUAUAAAUAGGCAUCUAUUAAUAAUUAAAGCUACGGCGGUAAAGGAGGGGCAUGCGUAACAUUAGCUAGUUGGGAGGGUAACGGCCUACCAAGGCAAUGAUGUUUAGGGGACCUGAGAGGGUGACCCCCCACACUGGUACUGAGACACGGACCAGACUCCUACGGGAGGCAGCAGUGAGGAAUAUUGGUCAAUGGGCGGCAGCCUGAACCAGCCAUCCCGCGUGAAGGAAGAAUGCGCUAUGCGUUGUAAACUUCUUUUUCAGGGGGAUAAAAUUUUGUAUGUAUACAGAACUGAAGGUACCCUGAGAAUAAGCAUCGGCUAACUCCGUGCCAGCAGCCGCGGUAAACGUAG